GUGGGCCGGUUGUUGACUGUGUGGGCCGGUUGUUGACUGUGUGGGCCGGUUGACUGGCUGGUUGUUGACUGUGUGGGCUGGUUGACUGGCUGGUUGUUGACUGUGUGGGCUGGUUGUUGACUGUGUGGGCUGGUUGUUGACUGUGUGGGCUGGUUGUUGACUGUGUUGGCUGGUUGUUGACUGUGUUGGCUGGUUGUUGACUGUGUGGGCUGGUUGUUGACUGUGUGGGCUGGUUGUUGACUGUGUGGGCUGGUUGUUGACUGUGUUGGCUGGUUGUUGACUGUGUUGGCUGGUUGUUGACUGGCUGGUUGUUGACUGUGUGGGCUGGUUGUUGACUGUGUGGGCUGGUUGUUGACUGUGUGGGCUGGUUGUUGACUGGCUGGUUGUUGACUGGCUGGUUGUUGACUGUGUGGGCUGGUUGUUGACUGUGUGGGCUGGUUGUUGACUGGCUGGUUGUUGACGGGCUGGUUGUUGACUGGCUGGUUGUUGACUGUGUGGGCUGGUUGUUGACUGUGUGGGCUGGUUGUUGACUGGCUGGUUGUUGACUGUGUGGGCUGGUUGUUGACUGUGUGGGCUGGUUGUUGACUGGCUGGUUGUUGACGGGCUGGUUGUUGACUGGCUGGUUGUUGACUGUGUGGGCUGGUUGUUGACUGUGUGGGCCGGUUGUUGACUGUGUGGGCCGGUUGUUGACUGUGUGGGCCGGUUGUUGACUGUGUGGGCCGGUUGUUGACUGUGUGGGCCGGUUGUUGACUGUGUGGGCCGGUUGUUGACUGUGUGGGCCGGUUGUUGACUGUCUGGUUGUUGACUGGCUGGUUGACUGGCUGGUUAUUGACUGUGUGGGCUGGUUGUUGACUGUGUGGGCUGGUUGUUGACUGUGUGGGCUGGUUGUUGACUGUGUGGGCUGGUUGUUGACUGUGUGGGCUGGUUGUUGACUGUGUGGGCUGGUUGUUGACUGGCUGGUUAUUGACUGGCUGGUUGUUGACUGUGUGGGCUGGUUGUUGACCGUGUGGGCUGGUUGUUGACUGUGUGGUUGUUGACUGUGUGGGCUGGUUGUUGACUGUGUGGGCUGGUUGUUGACUGUGUUGGCUGGUUGUUGACUGUGUUGGCUGGUUGUUGACUGUGUGGGCUGGUUGUUGACUGGCUGGUUGUUGACUGUGUGGGCUGGUUGUUGACUGGCUGGUUGUUGACUGGCUGGUUGUUGACUGUGUGGGCUGGUUGACUGUGUGGGCUGGUUGUUGACUGUGUGGGCUGGUUGUUGACUGGCUGGUUGUUGACUGGCUGGUUGUUGACUGUGUGGGCUGGUUGUUGACUGUGUGGGCUGGUUGUUGACUGUGUUGGCUGGUUGUUGACUGGCUGGUUAUUGACUGGCUGGUUAUUGACUGGCUGGUUAUUGACUGGCUGGUUAUUGACUGUUGGCUGGUUGUUGACUGGCUGGUUGUUGACUGGCUGGUUGUUGACUGUGUGGGCUGGUUGUUGACUGGCUGGUUAUUGACUGGCUGGUUAUUGACUGGCUGGUUAUUGACUGGCUGGUUAUUGACUGUGUGGGCCGGUUGUUGACUGUGUAGGCUGGUUGUUGACUGUGUGGGCUGGUUGUUGACUGGCUGGUUAUUGACUGUGUGGGCUGGUUGUUGACUGGCUGGUUGUUGACUGGCUGGUUGUUGACUGGCUGGUUGUUGACUGGCUGGUUGUUGACUGGCUGGUUAUUGACUGUGUGGGCUGGUUGUUGACUGGCUGGUUAUUGACUGUGUGGGCUGGUUGUUGACUGGCUGGUUGUUGACUGGCUGGUUGUUGACUGGCUGGUUGUUGACUGGCUGGUUGUUGACUGGCUGGUUGUUGACUGGCUGGUUGUUGACUGGCUGGUUGUUGACUGGCUGGUUGUUGACUGUCUGGUUGUUGACUGUCUGGUUGUUGACUGGCUGGUUGUUGACUGGCUGGUUGUUGACUGGCUGGUUGUUGACUGUGUGGGCUGGUUGUUGACUGGCUGGUUAUUGACUGUCUGGUUGUUGACUGGCUGGUUAUUGACUGGCUGGUUGUUGACUGUGUGGGCUGGUUGUUGACUGUGUGGGCCGGUUGUUGACUGUGGGCUGGUUGUUGACUGUGUGGGCUGGUUGUUGACUGGCUGGUUAUUGACUGUCUGGUUGUUGACUGGCUGGUUAUUGACUGUCUGGUUGUUGACUGUAUCAGGAGACCCUCUUCCAGCUCUGUGUCAGAGGCAGCUUCAGUAGCAGCAGUAGCAGCAUUUGGUCUAUCAGAGGCCCAGCGUCAAGCCAAAGAGGAGGAACAGAGGAACAUGGCCCUGCUGGAGAUGGAGCUACGGAUGAGAGAAGCUUCCCUGCACUGGGGGUGGUGUCUAAUGCCAGUGAAGGGAAGAAGAGGACAGGCAGAGGCAUGAGGAGAUCAACACUAGAGGAGGAGAGGAAGACCCCAUCACCUCCCACUCCUAACCUUCCUCCCACUCCUAACCUUCCUCCCACUCCUAACCUUCCUCCCACUCCUAACCUUCCUGCUACUACUAACCUUCCUCCCACUCCUAACCUUCCUCCCACUCCUAACCUUCCUCCCACUCCUAACCUUCCUCCCACUCCUAACCUUCCUCCCACUCCUAACCUUCCUGCUACUCCUAACCUUCCUCCAACCACCAUUCCUUCCAACCCUUUCCAUGUCAACUCCUGGCCUAAAACAACUGCUGCUGUUCCGGCCGUCCCCACCCCCUCACCUCGCCCCCACCUGUGUCUGGGGUUUUUACUGCCCCACCUCUGGUGACCUCUGUGCCCGACACGGUGACCUCUGUGCCCGACACGGUGACCUCUGUGCCCGACGCGGUGGACCAAUCCCCAGACAAUACAGACUGUCCCUCUCAACCCCCCCCUCCUCUCAAUCUCACCCACCCCUCCUCUCUUCCACAAUCUGGUCAACCCUAUCUUCCCCAAUGUUCUCUCUCCCAG